UACGGGGGGGGCAAGCGUUGUUCGGAAUUACUGGGCGUAAAGGGCUCGUAGGUGGCCAACUAAGUCAGACGUGAAAUCCCCAGGCUCAACUUGGGAACUGCGUCUGAUACUGGAUGGCUUGAAUUCGGGAGAGGGAUGCAGAAUUCCAGGUGUAGCGGUGAAAUGCGUAGAUAUCUGGAGGAAUACCGGUGGCGAAGGCGGCAUCCUGGACCGAGAUUGACACUGAUGAGCGAAAGCCAGGGGAGCAAACAGG
rnacentral:rRNA from 1 species